rnacentral:piRNA from 1 species
CUAAGGUGCUUAAGAAUGUUGA